AGUGAACGCUGGCGGUAGGCCUAACACAUGCAAGUCGAACGGCAGCACAGUAAGAGCUUGCUCUUACGGGUGGCGAGUGGCGGACGGGUGAGGAAUACAUCGGAAUCUACUUUUUCGUGGGGGAUAACGUAGGGAAACUUACGCUAAUACCGCAUACGACCUACGGGUGAAAGCAGGGGAUCUUCGGACCUUGCGCGAUUGAAUGAGCCGAUGUCGGAUUAGCUAGUUGGCGGGGUAAAGGCCCACCAAGGCGACGAUCCGUAGCUGGUCUGAGAGGAUGAUCAGCCAAACUGGAACUGAGACACGGUCCAGACUCCUACGGGAGGCAGCAGUGGGGAAUAUUGGCAAAAGGGCGCAAGCCUGAUCCAGCCAUACCGCGUGGGUGAAGAAGGACCUCGGGUUGUAAAGCCCUUUUGUUGGGAAAGAAAAGCAGCAGGUUAAUACCCCGCUGUAAUGACGGUACCCAAAGAAUAAGCACCGGCUAACUUCGUG
rnacentral:rRNA from 1 species